UCAGCUGUCUGUCCUACAGUGGAAGUUAAUCUGCUCCUUGUGUGUCUCUGCUCUCCCCUCCAGCUGGCCCCAUGGUCAGGCCCUCAGUCUCUCUGCUUCCCCCCUCCUCUGAGCAGCUCUCUGGGGCCUCGGCCACGCUGGCCUGCCUGCUGAGCGGCUACGCUCCUCAGGGAGCCGUGGUGAGCUGGGAGGUGGACGGUACAGAGGUGACAGAGGGGGUCCUGAGCAGCUCAGAGGAGGAGAAGAGCGGACGCUACAGCAGCAGCAGCACCCUGAGCCUGAGCCAGGAGCGCUGGAUGAAAGGAGAGCUGUACUCCUGCAGGGUCCUCCAUCAUGACCACAGCCAGAUCCAGUCCCUCCGCAGGAGCAAGUGUUAGGUGUAGAGGGGCUGGCUGAAGACCAGGACAGGAGCUGUGUGUGGGGGGAGCAGGAGGAACACACCUGCUGAUCUGAUCAAUAUGAUUUUUAAUGUUUGUAGAGUAAAGUGAAGCUUUGUGUGACAGAGAACAACUUAGAGAGUAAUGUGUGUAGCUCAGCAGCUAGAUGUGAGUGUGCUUAAUAACUGUC